GGUGGGAAGCGUGCGGUGCCGCAGCAAUGGCGGCGCUCACAAUUGCCACGGGUACUGGCAAUUGGUUUUCGGCUUUGGCGCUCGGGGUGACUCUUCUCAAAUGCCUUCUCAUCCCCACAUAGUUUGAAAUUGAAAUUUCUUGAUCCCAACAAUAUUCCCAAGGCCUCAAUGACAAGUGGUUUGGUUCAGCAGUUCCAACACACAGUCCUUCCCUCAGUGACUCCCUUGGCAACCCUCAUCUGCACACUGAUUGCCAUAUUGGGCCCAGAGGCUUUCUCCGAUGUCUAACUCUUUGUGCCUUGAGCUCCUUUAUGUUUGGGUGGCAUGUUCAUGAAAAAGCCAUACUUCUAGCAAUUCUCCCAAUGAGCCUUUUGUCUGUGGGAAAAGCAGGAGACGCUUCGAUUUUUCUGAUUCUGACCACAACAGGACAUUAUUCCCUCUUUCCUCUGCUCUUCACUGCACCAGAACUUCCCAUUAAAAUCUUACUCAUGUUACUAUUCACCAUAUAUAGUAUUUCGUCACUGAAGACUUUAUUCAGACGGAGUUUCACUCUUGUCGCCCAGGCUGGAGUGCAGUGGCGCGAUCUCCACUCACUGCAACUUCCGCCUCCUGGAAAAGAAAAACCUCUUUUUAAUUGGAUGGAAA
rnacentral:lncRNA from 10 species